rnacentral:rRNA from 1 species
GAUGAACGCUAGCUACAGGCUUAACACAUGCAAGUCGAGGGGUAACGAGAGGAAAGCUUGCUUUCCUUGUCGACGACCGGCGCACGGGUGAGUAACGCGUAUCCAACCUGCCCCCAACUAGGGAAUAACCUUGCGAAAGUAAGACUAAUACCAUAUAAUUUCCUCGGAUGUCAUCUGACGAGGAAUAAAGAUUUAUCGGUUGUGGAUGGGGAUGCGUCUGAUUAGCUUGUUGGCGGGGUAACGGCCCACCAAGGCAACGAUCAGUAGGGGUUCGGAGAGGAAGGUCCCCCACAUUGGAACUGGGACACGGUCCAAACACCUACGGGAGGGAGCAGUGAGGAAUAUUGGUCAAUGGGCGGAAGCCUGAACCAGCCAAGUAGCGUGCAGGAUGACGGCCCUAUGGGUUGUAAACUGCUUUUAUACAGGAAUAAAGUUAGCCACGUGUGGUUAUUUGUAGGUACUGUAUGAAUAAGGACCGGCUAAUUCCGUGCCAUCCGCCGCGGUAAGAC